CGAAUCUGCCCUCAAGUGGGGAAUAACGCUGCGAAAGCAGUGCUAAUACCGCAUAAGCUAUGCUGUUAAAGGUAUAGUAAAGCUUCGGCGCUUGAGGAGGAGCCCGCGUCUGAUUAGCUAGAUGGUGGGGUAAUGGCCUACCAUGGCGAUGAUCAGUAGCCGGCCUGAGAGGGCUGACGGCCACACUGGGACUGAGACACGGCCCAG
rnacentral:rRNA from 1 species